AUACGUAGGUGGCGAGCGUUGUCCGGAAUUACUGGGCGUAAAGGGUGCGUAGGCGGAUAAUCAAGUCAGAUGUGAAAGUCCAUGGCUUAACUGUGGGAGUGCAUUUGAGACUGAAGAUCUAGAGUGCAGGAGAGGGAAGCGGAAUUCCUAGUGUAGCGGUGAAAUGCGUAGAUAUUAGGAAGAACACCAGUGGCGAAGGCGGCUUUCUGGACUGUAACUGACGCUGAAGCACGAAAGCGUGGGGAGCAAACAGGAUUAGAUACCCUGGUAGUCCACGCCGUAAACGAUGAGUAUUAGGUGUAGGGGGCGAUAGUCUUCUGUGCCGGAGCAAACGCAAUAAAUACUCCGCCUGGGGAGUACGGUCACAAGACUAAA
rnacentral:rRNA from 1 species